UACGAAGGGGGCUAGCGUUGCUCGGAAUCACUGGGCGUAAAGGGCGCGUAGGCGGCCAUUCAAGUCAGGGGUGAAAGCCCAAGGCUCAACCUUGGAAUUGCCUUUGAUACUGUUUGGCUUGAGACCGGAAGAGGUAAGUGGAACUGCGAGUGUAGAGGUGAAAUUCGUAGAUAUUCGCAAGAACACCAGUGGCGAAGGCGGCUUACUGGUCCGGUUCUGACGCUGAGGCGCGAAAGCGUGGGGAGCAAACAGG
rnacentral:rRNA from 1 species